AUCAAUCAAACUUGGGCUGGAAUGAUUGUAGUGCAUCCAAUGGAUCUUGGAACUCGUAGUUUACAUCUACAGCAGCAUAUGCUACAGCAGUGACAACGCCAAAGAAAAGGACUACAUUUCCCAGAAUGCACCUGCACCCACUCAUCUGCCCCUUCAGGUGCGACCGCUUCACCUAUGGGCUUGACGGGAAAAUUCAAAAUCGCGAACCGUUACAGACUGGACGGUGUCUUUGUUUGCUUGCACAUCAACAGUAAGAGGUCAUGUACACUGUGGUCAACUUUGUGGACGCUGAAGAGGUUUCUGGGUAAACAUGAUAGAAAUAUAAUGAAGUAACAGUGGAAGCUAAAACAUCAGACUGAUCCAGACACUGAAGAAAUUGAUGUCACUGCAAUCUGGCCAAAAUGAUACAACUAUAUUGAAGUAGCCUACAGUAAUGAAGCUGCAGAACGUCACAGAGACUCUGAGGACAUCAACACAGAAAAUCAAGGGUCCAAAGAGAUGUCUGUCCAGAUGAGGGUGCAUCAACGUUACCUUUGCUGACAAGUAUAUGCUUUUAGCAGUUAACUUAACUCAAACCAUUUAAAGGGAUAGUUCGGCCAAAAACGAUAUUAAACCCAUGAUUUACUCACCCCCAAGCUGUCCGAGUUGCAUAUGUCCAUCGUUUUUCAGACAAACACAUUUUCGGAUAUUUUAGAAAAUAUUUUAGAUAUUUCUGUUCAUUAAAUGUUAUGUUACGGGGUCCAGCAAUAGUCCACGACCUUCAAGUCCAAAAAAGUGCGUCCAUCCUUCACAAAUUAAAUCCAAACGGCUCCAGGAUGAUAAACAAAGGUCUUCUGUGGGUAAUCCGUGCAGUGUUUUUGUAGAAAUAUCCAUAUUUAAAAUGUUAUUAACUUUAUAAACUAGCUUCCGGUAGCGCCGCCAUUUUGGAGUGAUGCGCAUUCAGGAUGAGAGCUUACGCAGCGUACAGAGUUUCUCUGCUGCUGCUCGGUGCCCCCGCCCUCCGAAUUUGUCAUACGUCACUAAGAAAAGUGCGUACACUACGCUAAUCCUCUCUCCUGAGUCUAAGAUGGCGGCGCUACCGGAAGCUAGUUUAUAAAGUUAAUAACAUUUUAAAUAUGGAUAUUUCUACAAAAACACCGCACGGAUUACCCACAGAAGACCUUUGUUUAUCAUCCUGGAGCCGUUUGGAUUUAAUUUGUGAAGGAUGGACGCACUUUUUUGGACUUGAAGGUCGUGGACUAUUGCUGGACCCCGUAACAUAACAUUUAAUGAACAGAAAUAUCUAAAAUAUUUUCUAAAAUAUCCGAAAAUGUGUUUGUCUGAAAAACGAUGGACAUAUGCAACUCGGACAGCUUGGGGGUGAGUAAAUCAUGGGUUUAAUAUCGUUUUUGGCCGAACUAUCCCUUUAAGGAAAUCGGUUGCAUUAAACCAUUAAGUUUUAAAAAACAUACAUUUGAGUACUUUGAACUUAAGUCUUGUGCAAUUAUGCACUUAUAUUUAGGUAGCGUGAACUUAAACAAAUUGAGUCACAUGCAGUUAAGCACUUAUAUUUAAGUUCACAGUACUCAAAUCUAUGUGUUUUAAAACUUGAAUGGUUUAAUGCAACCGGUUUUCUUAAAUGUGAGAAAUUACAGUGUUACAGUGAGAAAUGUUUGAAUAAUUCCAAGACAGAGCUCUGUGAUUAAUUAUACACUGCAAAAAAUCACUUUCUAACACUUUUUAUCUUGUUUUCAGUAGAAAAACUAAAAAUUCUUAAAUCAAGAUGUAUUUUCUUGAUGAGCAAAAUUACCUUAGAAAAUGUCUAGUUUUUAGACAAAAAUAUACAAUUUAAGAUAAUUUGUGCCUAAACAAGCAAAAAUAUCUAACAUUGGGGUGAGAAAAUUGUGUUUUAAUUAAGUUUUUAAGAUAAAAGAAAACUUAAGAUUUUUUUUCUCACACUAUUGGAAGAUAUUUUUGCUUGUUUUAAGCACAAUUUCACUUAAUGUAUGUGUGUGUAUUUUAUUUAUUUAUUUAUUUUGUCUAAAACUAGACUUAUUUUCUUGGGUCAUUUUGUUCCUCAAGAACAAGCAUUUUAAUUUAAAUAAUAUUUGUACUGAAAAGAAGACAAAAAUACUAUGUAAGAGAGUCAUUUUUUGCAGUGUAGGACUGAUUUCUUAAGAGCAAGAUCAAUAUAGUUGUUGUUCAUUUUAUUUAGAUAUUUACUACAUUACAGUGGCAGCUGGUGACUUCUUUUUUUUUUGUGAGCACUCGAUGCGAAGUUUGUCACAACAUGUAUAUAGCCCGUCAUUUAUGUGGUUCUCAAUUUCAAAAUAUGUGUUCUGCGUGUAUGUGUAUCACGUGUUUUGACUAAACAUGUGAUGCACGUGGUUUACAUGAAGCAACAAACACAUAUUUUAAAAACACAAGCAACACACAUGACACUCCGAACACUUAUUUUGAAUUUGCAACCCUCGGAUGAGCAGUCACGAGCCGCCACUGCUACAUUACAUUGUACUGCUUUGAAUGUAGUUUUCAUUGUUGCUUUUAUUUUGUUUUAUUUUACUCUAAUAUUGCUUUCUCUGUCUGUAUAUUUAUGAGUUUAAAUUGUAUUGUUUAU